rnacentral:lncRNA from 1 species
GGGGUUGGAAGUCCAGGACUGUUUAAUUUUCUUAAUAAUAGUCUCAAAUAGUUGUAUUAUUCUCUGGUGUUAAAAGUGGUAUGGGUUAGUCUAUUGCUUUUGGAUUCGAGUUGGGGGUCUAACAUUACUUGAACUACUUGAGACAUAUAUUAUCUCUUUUUUUCUUUUUGUUGGGUUUUCACGAUUUCAGCUAAUGGCAUUUUUUGGCUAUGGGUUAACAAUUGUUGUGGUGAUGCAUGUUCCUUGAAAUCACUUUGGGUGGCUCCAUCUUUGGUCGUUUUCCU